UGGCUGGGGGUGAAAGGCCAAUCAAACCGGGAGAUAGCUGGUUCUCCCCGAAAGCUAUUUAGGUAGCGCCUCGUGAAUUCAUCUUCGGGGGUAGAGCACUGUUUCGGCUAGGGGGUCAUCCCGACUUACCAACCCGAUGCAAACUACGAAUACCGAAGAAUGUUAUCACGGGAGACACACGGCGGGUGCUAACGUCCGUCGUGAAGAGGGAAACAACCCAGACCGCCAGCUAAGGUCCCAAAGUCAUGGUUAAGUGGGAAACGAUGUGGGAAGGCACAGACAGCCAGGAUGUUGGCUUAGAAGCAGCCAUCAUUUAAAGAAAGCGUAAUAGCUCACUGGUCGAGUCGGCCUGCGCGGAAGAUGUAACGGGGCUAAACCAUGCACCGAAGCUGCGGCAGCGACACUAUGUGUUGUUGGGUAGGGGAGCGUUCUGUAAGCCUGCGAAGGUG
rnacentral:rRNA from 1 species